rnacentral:rRNA from 1 species
UGGGGAACAUUGCACAAUGGGCGAAAGCCUGAUGCAGCGACGCCGCGUGAGGGAUGACGGCCUUCGGGUUGUAAACCUCUUUCAGUAGGGACGAAGCGCAAGUGACGGUACCUACAGAAGAAGCACCGGCUAACUACGUGCCAGCAGCCGCGGUAAUACGUAGGGUGCGAGCGUUGUCCGGAAUUAUUGGGCGUAAAGAGCUCGUAGGCGGUUUGUUGCGUCGGCUGUGAAAACCUACAGCUUAACUGUGGGCCUGCAGUCGAUACGGGCAGACUUGAGUUCGGCAGGGGAGACUGGAAUUCCUGGUGUAGCGGUGAAAUGCGCAGAUAUCAGGAGGAACACCGGUGGCGAAGGCGGGUCUCUGGGCCGAUACUGACGCUGAGGAGCGAAAGCGUGGGGAGCGAACAGGAUUAGAUACC